rnacentral:lncRNA from 1 species
UAUUCAAUGAGAAACAAUUAACAAUGUGACAGCCCUACCUCCUCCUAAGGCGAACCAAAGGGUUCAGCGGACAGCCUGCCCAACUCUCGCCAGGACUCACUCACUCAUUACAGUCCUCAAUUAAAUUACAAUAUAAAUCUCAAAUAUACAUCAAAUGUUCCAAAAAUUCACAUAUCAUAAAUAAAGCGAAUACUUCUUAAUGGCACUACAAACUAAAACCUCAGAGAUAAAACAAUACUAAGUCCCCAAAUAAGACAAACGUCCUCAGUUCUCACAUAAUUACAAAUACAAUUGCAGUUUCAAAUAUUACACAAGGUCGAACUAAAACUUCAACGGUACAGGAGAUUAUCCAACCAUUUACACGGAGAACUUUAAUACAAAUGCUUCCUUCGCCUCGAGCCCUGUGCAGGGGAAUAAAAUAUUUUUGGAGUGACCUAGAAGCUCAGCGAGUAACCAGUAAAAGCAGUCAUCAAAUCAGUUUCUCAAUAGUUCAUUUCAAUGAUGUCAUGUAUCUGGAAUCAAAUGUACGUUUAUCGCUCUCGUGAGCCAGUAAAAUCAUUGUACUUAAAUAUCCAACGCUCAAAUAGAUCAAUUAACAAUCAAUCAGUGAUAGGGAGCCCGUUGGUGCUCCAGAUGAACAUUAAAUAGUGGUGGAGAUGUUGGUUCUAAGCACAAGACUUCGUGAGAACUCAUUGAAGCCAAAUCAUGUCAUGAACUCACAUGCAAGCACACAUGAUAUGCAAUCGAGUAAAUAAUACAAGAAACGGUUCAUAAAUAACUUUGGAAAUAGUUUGAGAUCACUCACAAACCACGGCUCAUGAACCUCAUCCAUUAUAGACAGUUUCAUAGAUCAAACUCAAGCCCUUCAAUUCAAACUCAAAGCAAUCACAUGCUUUCAAAGAUCGGACAGUAUUUCCCCUUAAUUUCUUUCUUUUCCAACCUACAAACAAUCACCAAAUUCAUAACCAUCAACCACAAUUAUACAUACGGUUCAUAAGCAAUAUAACACAUCCAAUUAGGGCCACAAUACCCUUUCCAAUCUUAACCAAUUAAGGACUUCACAACCAAUCAAAGCAAAACCCUAAAUGAAACCCUAAAACCGGAAUUUCCGCCCAAACCAGAAUUUUCCGCAAACAAUUAUAUCCAACGUAUACAAGCUCCAAUUUUCACCACAACAAGCUAUCAUUUCAUGACCAACGAACCAUAAUCAUAUAAAAUCAGAAAAUUUCCCAAUAAAUCAGAAAUUGGUCCAACUCUACUUAAACUCGUAAAAUCAUCCACAAUACAACAUAUUAAACCACUAUAUACCACUAAUAUGCCGUUAUUAAAGCAAGAGAGAACUUUCUUAUCCAACUUACCUCAAAACUCAAGAAAGCUAGUAUCUUAAAGCAUCCCCUUCCAAAUCAACUCCAUCAACCUCUGCAAACUUCCAUAGUGAGCCCUUGUAUGGAGUAGUUUCCAAAACCAUCGGUGAAAUCUCAAGAUGUGAGCAAAGAUUGAAACUAGCAAAAAUGAAGAAAUCUCUCUUGUUUUUCCUCUCUCAACAGCCGGCCAAGCCAAGGAAAGAAAUGAGGAAAAAUCUCAGCCAAAACAAGAUAAGAAGGAAGAAAAUCAGCUGGUCAAAGUUGAUGGCUGACAUGCCACGUCACAAUCCGGCCGGAUU